AGUCGAACGGCAGCACGGGUGCUUGCACCUGGUGGCGAGUGGCGAACGGGUGAGUAAUAUAUCGGAACGUGCCCUAGAGUGGGGGAUAACGUAGCGAAAGUUACGCUAAUACCGCAUACGAUCUACGGAUGAAAGUGGGGGACCGCAAGGCCUCACGCUCCUGGAGCGGCCGAUAUCUGAUUAGCUAGUUGGUGGGGUAAAAGCCUACCAAGGCGACGAUCAGUAGCUGGUCUGAGAGGACGACCAGCCACACUGGGACUGAGACACGGCCCAGACUCCUACGGGAGGCAGCAGUGGGGAAUUUUGGACAAUGGGGGCAACCCUGAUCCAGCAAUGCCGCGUGUGUGAAGAAGGCCUUCGGGUUGUAAAGCACUUUUGUCAGGAACGAAACGGUGGGGGCUAAUAUCCUCUGCUAAUGACGGUACCUGAAGAAUAAGCACCGGCUAACUACGUGCCAGCAGCCGCGGUAAUACGUAGGGUGCAAGCGUUAAUCGGAAUUACUGGGCGUAAAGCGUGCGCAGGCGGUUGUGCAAGACAGAUGUGAAAUCCCCGGGCUCAACCUGGGAAUUGCAUUUGUGACUGCACGGCUAGAGUGUGUCAGAGGGGGGUAGAAUUCCACGUGUAGCAGUGAAAUGCGUAGAUAUGUGGAGGAAUACCGAUGGCGAAGGCAGCCCCCUGGGAUAACACUGACGCUCAUGCACGAAAGCGUGGGGAGCAAACAGGAUUAGAUACCCUGGUAGUCCACGCCCUAAACGAUGUCUACUAGUUGUCGGGUCUUAAUUGACUUGGUAACGCAGCUAACGCGUGAAGUAGACCGCCUGGGGAGUACGGUCGCAAGAUUAAAACUCAACGAAUUGACGGGGACCCGCACAAGCGGUGGAUGAUGUGGAUUAAUUCGAUGCAACGCGAAAACCUUACCUACCCUUGACUGUUCGGAACCUGCUGAGAGUGGGGGUGCUCGAAAGAAGCGUACACAGUGCUGCAUGCUGCGUCAGCUCUGUCUGAGAGUCGAUAGUCCGCACGAGCGCAACCUUGUCAU
rnacentral:rRNA from 1 species